UACGUAGGGCGCAAGUCGUUGUCCGGAAUUAUUGGGCGUAAAGAGCUCGUAGGCGGCUUGUCACGUCGGGUGUGAAAGCCCGGGGCUUAACCCCGGGUCUGCAUUCGAUACGGGCUAGCUAGAGUGUGGUAGGGGAGAUCGAAUUCCUGGUGUAGCGGUGAAAUGCGCAGAUAUCAGGAGGAACACCGGUGGCGAAGGCGGAUCUCUGGGCCGUUACUGACGCUGAGGAGCGAAAGCGUGGGGAGCGAACAGG
rnacentral:rRNA from 1 species